CAAGAGGGCUAAGCUAAACAAACUAAACAACUAGCAAGGUAUGCAAGUAUGUAAAGGAGUGGAGAGUGAUUGUUAUACCGAUAUUGUAGAGUAGAUAUAUAACCAAUCAAUCAAUCACAAAUACAAGAGAAUCCUCGGCAAAAGAAGACGUUGUGGCGAUACACCCACUUGAUGGAUCACGAGCCAAUUUGCAAUCCAAAGCCAAACCCUCAAUGGGCGCCGCACAUCCACUCACGAGAUGGGGAUCCACCAAGCCACGAGCAAUCCACUAGAGUAGCCAAUUUGCGAUCUCCGGUAGGGAAGGCUCAAGAACCCCUCAACAAUCACUUGGUGAGGCUCGAAACAAUCUCCAAUCACGAGCUCAACACCACUGCUGCUCCAAACCGUC
rnacentral:lncRNA from 1 species